rnacentral:rRNA from 1 species
AGGAAUUGGCGGGGGAGCACCGCAACGGGAGGAGCGUGCGGUUUAAUUGGAUUCAACACCGGAAAACUCACCAAGGGCGACUGUUACAUGAAGGCCAGGCCGACGACCUUGCCGGAUUUUCAGAGAGGUGGUGCAUGGCCGUCGUCAGUUCGUACCGUAAGGCGUUCUCUUAAGUGAGAUAACGAACGAGACCCUCACCGAUAAUUGCUACUUCUUCCUCCGGGGAGGAGGCACAUUAUCGGGACCGCUGGCGCUAAGCCAGAGGAAGGAGAGGUCAACGGUAGGUCAGUAUGCCCCGAAUCUCUUGGGCUACACGCGCGCUACAAAGGGCGGGACAAUGGGCUCCGACGCCGAAAGGCGAAGGUAAUCCCGAAACCCGUCCGUAGUUCGGAUUGAGGGUUGUAACUCACCCUCAUGAAGCUGGAUUCCGUAGUAAUCGCGAAUCAACAACUCGCGGUGAAUAUGCCCCGCUCCCCCGCCAAUUCCUC